GACCUGGUCGGGCGGUCUUGCCGAAAGGUAAGCACUGCUUCGGCCGGGUCUUUUAUUCUGGAAAACCAGCGUGCUCUUGAUUGAGUGCGCUGGGGAUCCAGGACUUUUACUUUGAAAAAAUUAGAGUGUUUAAAGCAGGCAUAUGCUUGAAUACAUUAGCAUGGAAUAAUAGAAUAGGACUUUGGUUCUAUUUUGUUGGUUUCUAGGACCGAAGUA
rnacentral:rRNA from 1 species